GGCAGGUAGCCUAGUGGUUAGAGUGUAGAGGAGGCAGGUAGACUAGUGGUUAGAGUGUAGAGGAGGCAGGUAGACUAGUGGUUAGAGGAGGCAGGUAGCCUAGUGGUUAGAGUGUAGAGGAGGCAGGUAGCCUAGUGGUUAGAGGAGGCAGGUAGUCUAGUGGUUAGAGUGUAGAGGAGGCAGGUAGUCUAGUGGUUAGAGGAGGCAGGUAGCCUAGUGGUUAGAGUGUAGAGGAGGCAGGUAGCCUAGUGGUUAGAGUGUAGAGGAGGCAGGUAGUCUAGUGGUUAGAGUGUAGAGGAGGCAGGUAGUCUAGUGGUUAGAGGAGGCAGGUAGACUAGUGGUUAGAGUGUAGAGGAGGCAGGUAGACUAGUGGUUAGAGUGUAGAGGAGGCAGGUAGUCUAGUGGUUAGAGUGUAGAGGAAGCAGGUAGCCUAGUGGUCAGAGUGUAGAGGAGGCAGGUAGUCUAGUGGUUAGAGUGUAGAGGAGGCAGGUAGUCUAGUGGUUAGAGUGUAGAGGAGGCAGGUAGCCUAGUGGUUAGAGUGUAGAGGAGGCAGGUAGUCUAGUGGUUAGAGUGUGGAGGAGGCAGGUAGUCUAGUGGUUAGAGUGUCCAGG
ensembl:lncRNA